GGAGAACGCUGGCGGCAUGCCUAAUACAUGCAAGUCGAACGCGGCCAUCCGGUGCUUGCACUGGUGAAGCCGAGUGGCGAACGGGUGAGUAACACGUGAGAAACCUGCCCUGGAGUGGGGAAUAACUCGAAGAAAUUCGAGCUAAUACCACAUACCUUCUCUUCACCGCAUGGUGAGUUGAAGAAAGAUUUAUCGCUCUAGGAGGGUCUCGCGGCCUAUCAGCUAGUUGGUGAGGUAAUGGCUCACCAAGGCAUCGACGGGUAGCUGGUCUGAGAGGACGAUCAGCCACACUGGGACUGAGACACGGCCCAGACUCCUACGGGAGGCAGCAGUGGGGAAUUUUGGACAAUGGGCGAAAGCCUGAUCCAGCCAUUCCGCGUGCAGGAUGAAGGCCCUCGGGUUGUAAACUGCUUUUGUACAGAACGAAAAAGCUCUUUCUAAUACAGAGAGUCCAUGACGGUACUGUAAGAAUAAGCACCGGCUAACUACGUG
rnacentral:rRNA from 1 species